UACGAAGGGGGCUAGCGUUGUUCGGAAUUACUGGGCGUAAAGCGUGUGUAGGUGGUUGUCAUAGUCAGGCGUGAAAGCCUUGAGCUCAACUCAAGAAAUGCGCUUGAUACUGGGCAGCUAGAGGACCGGAGAGGAUAGUGGAAUUCCCAGUGUAGUGGUGAAAUACGUAGAGAUUGGGAAGAACACCAGUGGCGAAGGCGGCUAUCUGGACGGUUUCUGACACUAAGACACGAAAGCGUGGGGAGCAAACAGG
rnacentral:rRNA from 1 species